UCUCGUAUUACCAUUCAAAAUCACGUCACCAUUUCCAUCAAAUCAAAGAAAGCAUCGAUCGAUUAGGGUUUCCCCGCUCAAGAAAUCAACUCGUUGCCUCGCUAUUUCCAUCCUCGUUCACCACUCGCCGACUUUCCACUACCCCACCGGUCACGCCAUUGUCAUUCCUUCCACCGAUUCGUGAAUCACAAAGGCUUUUGCUUUACAGUUUGAGUAAGAAUUGUAAGCAAUGGAGGUCGUUGCGCCUAUUGUUGAUUACGGGAAGGCUCGCAGCAAUAUCUUGCUUUUUAACCGCUGGACCUACGAUGACGUUCAGGUUCCUGAUCUUUCUAGACUGCUACUGCAUCAAAGCAUCCAAUCUACAUGCCUCACACAACUGGAAGGUACCAAGCAAGGAGGUUCAGGAAGGCUCAAUGCCCAAUUAUGUAGCGAUUAACCAACUCUCUCAUGAUGCAUGGGAGAAACAAUGAUAAAAAGCUCGUGGUUGUUCGCAUAUUCAAACACGCAAUGGAAAUCAUCCAUCUGUUAACCGAUGCUAAUCCUAUUCAAAUCAUCGUAGAUGCUGUCAUCAACAGAUUAUGGAUUUGGAGUAGUCAAUUCAAAGGUGAAGAUAAUCCAUGUGACCGGAGUAAGUGACAUGGAUCCUUAGUUCCUUACAAAUGGUCUAAAUCAAAAUGGAGAUGCGUAAUGGUGAGGUGGGAUGAAGAUGUUGGUAACAACAAUCAUGAAUGAAUCCCUUCAUGAGUGGGAUGAAGAUGUUGGUAACAGCAAUCAAGAAGGAAUCUCUCAAUGAGAGAUUGAUCUUUUGGGUGUAUCUGUCCCACUUUUAAGCAUUCAUCCUUCUCUAAGAUUCAAAAACUCUGGUCCUCUGCAACUGACACAGGUCCUCUGCAACAUUAAAACCAAUAUUAAAAUUAGUGUAAACUGUUUUAAUCAUAUUUAUUAUACUAUUUGAAGAAGUAGGUUUUUGCAACUGACACAGGUCCUCUGCAACAUUCAAGUCUUUACAAAAGUGAUGCCUUCUCUUUUUGCUCCAAAUUUUGAAGACCUCUUUAUAAACACUUCAUAUGCAUAUCAAGUCAAAUCUCUAAAACUUGAGAUCCCUUCUUUCAUUGCUACAGAUGAAUCAAUCUCGGUUAUCUUUCAAGAAUUGCAGUAGAAUUGCUGCUCUUUCUUUUGCAAACAAAGGGCGUAAACUUUGUGCUAUAAGUACAGAUGGAACAACAUGCGAAAUGAACUCUGAAACUGGCGAACUGUUAAAAGAAAUGAAAAUCUCAAAUAAACUUAUCUCUUCAUCUGUAUAUAUUUUUCUGAUGAUAAAAUAUUAGCUGCAUCAAAUACCAAGAUCAGAGUUCUCACCUUAGAUGUUGGAGAAAACUACUUAAGUUUUCCACAGAUGCUGGUCCUGUGAAUCAUAUGUUUAUGUUGGAUGAUACAAACACCAUAAUUACAUAUGUAUUUGGUGACAAGAAUCUGCAUGUGUGGAAAAAUGGAUAAAGUCAACAACCAUUAGCUGAAGGAGACUAUGCAUCGAGUACAAUUAUUCCAGCUUGUAAAGUUGUGAUUGACAUAUCAAAUGCUUCAAAAGAUUUGAUUGAUUAAGAAGUUUCGGCUUUUUAUCGAAAUCCCGAUAAUGCCCUUUACAUGCUUCCAUCAACCCCACAAGCAAUGUUGGAGGCAAUGGGUUGCUCUACUGGACCUGAUGUUGUCAUUGCUGCAAAAAGAAUGCUGCCCUUCUGACGGCCCGAGCUGGUGCCCAAGACCCCUCUGCUAUUCCUUCUAUUUGUCGUGUUUCUGCUUCCCUUCAAUAUCCUGCAGGGCUGUGUGUGUGUGUUUGUGUGUGUUAGAGUGAUGUGAAAUUACUAAAAUACCCUUGGUUAAUUUUAGGGUUGGAAGGUUCCGAUAUCGGCUUAGCAUGGUGUUGGAAUCGAUGGAAUUCUGUUUGAAGUUGCGGGGUUCCAGAAGCUUGUGUUUUGGAGGACUUAGCCAAAGCUAUCAAUCUGGUGCAUAUCAGGAGGGAUCUUGUGGAAAGUGGUCACGCGUUGCUAAACCAUGCUUAUCUCAAUCUAAAAGAAUACAAAAGGAAUAAGGGUGGAACUAGAAUCUGUGAUUCCGACGGAAUUGGAAUAUGUGAUUCCAUUCCAAUGCCAAAUAAACGGAGUUUAAUUCUAUCUGAAGGUGGAACCAGAAUCAGUGAUUCUGAUGGAAACGGAAUCUGUGAUUAUGUUGGAAUCAGAAUCUAUGAUUCCAUUCCACUGCCAAAUCAACGGAAUUUUAAUUAUAUGUAAAGGUGGAACCAGAAUCAGCGAUUACGACAGAAUUGGAAUCAGUGAUUCCGACGGAACCAAAACCUUACAAAAUUCAAAUGAAAACCAAAAUUGCAAGAGAACAUUUUGGCAUUAUGGUUACGGUAAUGGAAUGUAUUUUUGUAUAUGUAUGAUAUCUUAUUUUGCAUUAUUUGACAUUAAAUGUGUAAUUUAGUUUGUUUAAUAUU